GCCUAACACAUGCAAGUCGAGCGGCAGCGCGAUAUGUAGCAAUACAUAUUGGCGGCGAGCGGCGGACGGGUGAGGAACACGUAGGAACCUACCCUCGAGUGGGGGAUAACCAAGGGAAACUUUGGCUAAUACCGCAUGAAUUCGAGAGAGCAAAGCUGCCGCAAGGUGGCGCUCGAGGAGGGGCCUGCGUCCGAUUAGCUAGUUGGUGAGGUAAGAGCUCACCAAGGCGAUGAUCGGUAACUGGUCUGAGAGGACGAGCAGUCACACUGGGACUGGGACACGGACCAGACUCCUACGGGAGGCAGCAGUGGGGAAUAUUGGACAAUGGGGGCAACCCUGAUCCAGCGAUGCCGCGUGAGUGAAGAAGGCCUUCGGGUCGUAAAGCUCUUUAGGUUGGGAAGAAGGGUGAUGGAGGAAAUGCUAUCACUUUGACGGUACCGACAGAAUAAGCACCGGCAAACUCUGUGCCAGCCGCCGCGGUAAUAC
rnacentral:rRNA from 1 species